GGAUAGCUCAGUUUGGUAGAGCAGGUGACUAUUACUCAUCGGGUCGCGGGUUCGAAUCCCGCUCCA
rnacentral:tRNA from 1 species